rnacentral:lncRNA from 1 species
AGUUUCUAAGGCUCUCUACAAUAAACAAUUAGGGUUUAGACAGUGAUUUUGGGGUUACCUUCGGCUAGUAAUUUCAGCCACAAUUCAUCCAGUCUUCGGUUUUCGGUACACGAAAAUAAGUAAGUUCUCAGUUACAAUUUAAUGUGUUAUGUGUAGUCCUUCACUUAUGAAAGAACUUUGCAAAGAAAACUUUUAAUUUUUAAAAUCAACAAUAUUAAACGAGAGAUUCUUGUAAAAGAUUUCAUUUCAAGAAGUUGAGAAAAUUAAUUUAUUAUUGUAAUUAAAGUUAAUUAAAAGAAAUUAAUUCAUUUUCCUACUGAAACAAAAUCCGGAUGUCAUUUCUCAUAUUUGAUCCUUUUUAUCUCGAAUUUUUAAAUAAAUAGUAGGAGGCAAGGCUUUUAUCCGUGGUUUCCUGUACUUUUAGCUGCGUUUUAUGUUUGUUUGAUUAAAAAAGCGAGGCAUGUUAGGUUUUUCAUUUUUCAGUUUUUCUUUAUAAAAUUUAUUCAAUCAAUGGCUACUUCACCUUGAAAUUUUCUCUAUUUGAAUAGUGUCUUUUCAAGGAUGGAAUGAUGUGUGUAACAUUAGCUAAUUAUGAAAUUUAUGAAAUUAUCCUUAAUUUUCUCAUGAAUUUUUAGUUUUAAUUUAUAUAUAGUGUGGGAGGCGUUAAGGUCAUUGGUAAUCAGGUUUAGAGAAAAAGUUACCUUUAUGUUGGUCGAUUUAAUUUUAGCUUUUGUUUUGAUUUCAUAAUAUCAGCAUUGUAUCUGUCUUAAAUGUCUUUUACCAAAGUUGAUUAACCAAGUUCAAUACAGAUCCCACACUCAUAUCGUUAGACAUGAGGGUGACACCGAAAGUAAAGAGUCUUAAGGUCUCAUUUGUUUGCAUUUAAUGGAGGUCUGAAUUUGAAUGGUUCAUACUUCAGACCAUUAAGUGCAUUUGUUUUUUAUUAAGAUUUUAGUUCUUAAUAGGUCUGAAUAGGUCUUAAUUAUUCAGAUCAAGAACAAAGUCUUAAUAGGUCUGAAGAGAUAUUCUGGUGUUGGAUAAUAUUCACCGCUCUAUUCAUAAUCAGCAGUCACCACCACUAACCACCGCCACCAUUGUCAACCACCACCCACCACCACCAACCACCUUCACCAUCACAACCAUUAUCAACAAUAAAUAUCUCUACCAACCACUAUUGUCAACCGCCACCACACCUACUACCUCUAUUAUUCUAAUUAUAUUUAACGCCCCACCGCCGUCAACAGCACCACCAUCAUCAAUCAUUAUCGGUCAAUCUCUGCUAUCGACCAACGCAUUUAUCACAACUAGCACCACAGCUAACUACCACUAAUACAUCACAACCUCCACAUAUUCUUCGACAGCCACUACCAUUGUCACUAGUAACGUCACCUCUACCAUCACUAUCAUCACUACAAUUUAUCUCUACUGACAACCAUCUCCACCAUCACAACUAACAAUAUCUCCGUCUAGCACCAACACAUCAUCAACCAUCAUUCCUUUAUUUUGCAGUCAUUACAAUCAACACAUCCAACUACUAACAUCAAGCAACGUCACAUCACAACCACCACCACCAUUAUCAACCUCCACCGUCGUAACAAUCACUACAAUACCAUCACAACUAUCACCACUAACAUUACUAAUCACUAACAUCAAUCGUUAUUACGACCAUCUUCACUAUCACUAACAAACAUAAAUAUUUUUUUUCAAUCAAAUAAUAAUUUUGUUAUAUUAAAUUACAUAUUUUUCUGAUAUAUAAUUAGUUUUUUAUUUGAAUUAUAUUUUUUAUUUUAUUAUAUAUACAAAUAAUGUUUUUUUGUACAUUCAGAUAUUGAAAAACAAUUUUAAUCAUUAAGUUUUCAGAUCUAAGGACGAUAUUUUAUUCAUUCAGACGUGCAUUCACAGUGUGAAUCUUAAAAAAAACAAAUGUAGCCUAAGCAACUUAGCACUUAUUUAUCAACGUUUAUAUCUGUGGAAUCUAAUUCAUUUAAAAACCAUAUUUGGGAGUCUUCUAACUACUUCUAACUCUACAUGGAAAUUUCUCAAAGUGUAGUGGUUGUUUUGGUUCCACAUUAAAGUUGAAAUUUCUCUAGACAUGGGCUACCCUUUUAUUGGCAGUAAAGAGGCUUUUACUGAAAUAUGCCGAGGAUUACCCCUGAGUCAUGCUGAGAUUCAUAGCUUUAGAAGUAUAAUUUAUCUCAAUCUCAUUACAUUGAUUGACUUUUUUGCGAACGAGAUAGACAUGUACUAAUAUCUAGUUAUUUCCUAGGAGGUAACUUGGAGAAAUUCCUCUAGAUGAGAGCCAAUAAAUCUUUGACUUUAAAGGGAAAUUUUAUUUAGCAUUUUAAAGUUGAAGACUCUAUUUGCUCUUUCCUCAAUGAAUUUCUCCAACUACCUCCUACUAGAUAAUUAUAUAUCACAAACAUGUCUAUCUCUCUUGAAAAAUUUCAAUCAGUGUAAUGAGAUUAGAUGACUUAUGCUUCUAAGGCUACGAAUCUCAGCAUGGAACUAGGCACCCCUUGACAUCUUUGGAACAUGAGCCUCUUUACUGUUAAAGUCCCAAGUCCAUGGAAAAUUUUAGCUUUCUAUGUGGGACCUAAACCACCAAUUAUGAAUACAGCAAACAUCCUCCAUACCUUCACGAAAACUUGUUAACAUUAUUGCAAUAAGCGGUAUAGCAAGAGCAAAGUCAAGAAACAGAAUCAGUAAUCAAAGAGAAAAAUCCAUUACUCUUACAACAUGAGUAAUUCGUUUAACAAUCAAAAUUCACUCAAGAACACUCACACUUUUAACUCGCAAAGAAAACAAGAACAUGAGCAAUACUUAAGCAAUGUAGUAAAUUGGGUUUUUACCAUUUUCCUCUCUUCAGCACUUUUUGAAUAUUUACAAAAAACUAUUUGAUGAAGAAGCAUAUUUUUUUCCUUUUAUAGAUGAGUAAUGACUAAGGCUGAAAUGCCAUUGGACCAGAUGUCCUAAUUAGUACAAGCAACACCUUCCAGUUUGUUAUACAAACGGACAAAGCUAUACAGACGCGUGACAGUUGUACUGUUUCCUGAAACAUCCAAGGACUUGGUCCUUUAUAUUCAUUUGCUCAUCAUCAAACUACAUAUAGCAAGGUGGCUGCACACAUUGUGGAAACCCAAAAUCUACAAUAGCAACAUGAGUUCAAUUGAAUGGGACACCUGGUGGUUUGAACUGAAAAAUAAAAAGAAGUAAGAGGUCGAUAGAGCCUUAUUGGCAAACACUAAGUAGAGCUCAAAAAGUGCUGAAUGAUUGGCGCUUAUACCACAACACAAAGAUACUCCAUCAUCAAAUUCCAACAACACUAUGGCUCAUAACAAUUUCGGUAAUCUUGGUUGGAUUAUUGAUUUAGGAGCAAUCGACCAUAUGACCUUUAAUUCUAUUAUUAUAGUAGAGUCGAUUCAACCUAUACACAUACGCAUAUUUAAUGUAAAAGGAGUGAUAUAUACCAUUGAAGGGGCUGGAAGAAUGAUACUAUCACCAAAUCUCUCUUUAAAAAAUACUUCACUUGUCUCCUCUCUCUAUAUGUAUAAUAAAUUAUGAUCUAUAGGUCAAAUGACGAAGGACUUGAACUUUUGUGCACUAAAAUAUCAAAAGUUUUGAUUAUUUCAGGAUAUUUCCACAAAGGAAAAGAUUAGUUAUGGGACUAAACGAGGAGGCAUGUAUUACAUGGAUGAUUAUUAUUGUUGCUUGAAAAAUGCAGCUCUAGGAAUGAGUAACAAAGAUAAAAAGAUAUGGCUGUGGAAUUAUUAGUUAGGACACGUCUUUUCCUUAUUUAAGGUGCUCAUUGUCAAUUUUAUUUAUAAAUUUAGAUGAAAUAAUGUUCCAAUGCAAAGAUUGUAUUCUUCCUAAGAGUCAUCAUAUUCUUAUCCAAUAAAUUUGAAUAAUAAAUGUGAAACACCCUUUAUGUUAACUCAUUCUAAUGUUUGGGGUCCAGCUCCUAUUUUAGUUUCUUUAUUUGAUAAAAGGUAAAGAUGAGGUUUUUGGAA